rnacentral:rRNA from 1 species
UGCCAGCAGCCGCGGUAAGACGAAGGUGGCAAGCGUUGUUCGGAAUUACUGGGCAUAAAGAGCGCGUAGGUGGCGUGGUAAGCGAGGAAUGAAAUCCCAUGGCUCACCCAUGGAACUGUUUCUCGAACUGCCAUGCUUGAGGACGGGAGGGGAAGGUGGAAUUCCUGGUGUAGCGGUGAAAUGCGUAGAUAUCAGGAGGAACACCGGUGGCGAAAGCGACUUUCUGGCACGAAACUGACGCUGAGGUGCGAAAGCGUGGGGAGCAAACAGGAUUAGAUA